rnacentral:rRNA from 1 species
CCUACGGGCGGCAGCAGUGAGGAAUAUUGGUCAAUGGGCGAAAGUCUGAACCAGCCAAGUAGCGUGCAGGAUGACUGCCCUACGGGUUGUAAACUUCUUUUAUAAGGGAAUAAAACGAGGCACGUGUGCCUUUUUGCAUGUACUUUAUGAAUAAGGAUCGGCUAAUUCCGUGCCAGCAGCCGCGGUAAUACGGAGGAUCCGAGCGUUAUCCGGAUUUAUUGGGUUUAAAGGGAGCGUAGAUGGGUUGUUAAGUCAGUUGUGAAAGUUUGGGGCUCAACCGUAAAAUUGCAAUUGAUACUGGCAGUCUUGAGUACAGUUGAGGUAGGCGGAAUUCGUGGUGUAGCGGUGAAAUGCUUAGAUAUCACGAAGAACCCCGAUUGCGAAGGCAGCUUACUAAACUGUGACUGACACUGAUGCUCGAAAGUGUGGGUAUCGAACAGGAUUAGAUACCCUUGUAGUC